rnacentral:rRNA from 1 species
UACGGAGGGUGCAAGCAUUAAUCGGAAUUAUUGGGCGUAAAGGGCGCGUAGGCGGGUUUAUAAGUCAGAUGUGAAAUUCCGAAACUCAAUUUCGGAGCUGCAUUUGAAACUGUAAGUCUUGAGGGAUGGCGGAGAAAACGGAAUUCCACGUGUAGCGGUGAAAUGCGUAGAUAUGUGGAAGAACACCUGUGGCGAAAGCGGUUUUCUAGCUAUGACCUGACGCUGAGGCGCGAGAGCAAGGGGAGCAAACAGG